rnacentral:rRNA from 1 species
CACGUAGGGCGCAAGCGUUGUCCGGAAUUAUUGGGCGUAAAGAGCUCGUAGGCGGUCUGUUGCGUCCGCUGUGAAAACUCGGGGCUUAACCCCGAGCCUGCAGUGGAUACGGGCAGACUAGAGGUAGGUAGGGGAGAAUGGAAUUCCCGGUGUAGCGGUGGAAUGCGUAGAGAUCCGGAAGAACACCGGUGGCGAAGGCGGCCUGCUGGGCAGUUUAGCUGACACUGAGGCGCGACAGCGUGGGGAGCAACAGGG